UUGGACUUUCCCCAGCAGACUAACCUCCAGCUUCCUCUUGGAAUUUUUUGAAUAACCAAGAGCUAUGAUCAUGAGCUGUUUGUCACUAUGAGCAAGGUCCACUUUUUUAAAGGGCUACGCAUUGUGUGUCUCAUCUGAGCCUCCACGGUGAGGACCAAGAAAGAGAAAGUAAGGAUCAGAAAUUAAAAUACAAACAUUUUGCAAGCCCACAGCGUUCAUUACACCUUUCAGGAUGUAACUGGGUAGAUUGAAAAAGAAAUUGUUCCUGCCAUUGAAGAAAACAAAUGGAAAAAAGCAAAAUGGGACUUAAAAAAUAUUUGUGGAAAAUGAUCGCAUGGCAGAAGGGGAAGAAACCUGAGGAAGAAGUGGUAACUUCAAUCCUGACUCUGAGGACAGUUUACCCUCUACCCCAUCCCAGAGCAGAGAGAAGCCACCAGCAACAGUUACAUAAGUCCACGUACUGCAGAGAUGGGAGGUGAGGCUCUCUACCAACUACAGGACCUCUUCUCUGCCCUGCCAUGGUGGAAGGAGUUCCUAAGCCCCAAAGGAGCAAUCUGAAACACUUCCGUCUCAAAAGUAGAAGUAAAUUAGACAUAAACCAAAUUAGAAACAGAAAUAUUUAUUGCAUUACAAAAUGUGACUUCAAAUGCACUGAACCACGCAACAAAAUCAAUCAAAUUGCUUCCGAAUCCCAUCCUCUGGUAUCGCUUUGUUUCAUAAUCCCAGAGAGUGUAACACACGUUGAUCAUGUACCUUCUGAAACUGAUUUAAAAAGAAAAGACUUCUGACUAUUUCCAAAAUUUGCAUCAGCCUUUCAGAGAAGAAGGCCUGCCACUGCUAACAAUAUUCAAAAGAAUGUGCUGUGAGUCCUUAAAUUAAUUCCAAAGAGACAGUGCAAAAAUGUUUUAGGAAAGGCAUCAUCACUGAAAUAAAUGAAGAGCUUCCCAAUGUGACCACUCAAUUAAAUGCACAAAUUUUGCUGAGAUACUUUUAAAUUCAGGCAUACCUUAUAAUAAAUUUAUGUAUAUUUAGUUUGUGGUAUAUUAUGUUU